rnacentral:rRNA from 1 species
CUACGGGCGGCUGCAGUGAGGAAUAUUGCACAAUGGGGGAAACCCUGAUGCAGCAACGCCGCGUGGAGGAUGACGCAUUUGGGUGUGUAAACUCCUUUUAUAUGUCAAGAAAAUGACGGUAGCAUAUGAAUAAGCACCGGCUAACUCCGUGCCAGCAGCCGCGGUAAUACGGAGGGUGCAAGCGUUACUCGGAAUCACUGGGCGUAAAGGACGCGUAGGCGGGUUGGAAAGUCAGGUGUGAAAUCCUACAGCUUAACUGUAGAACUGCACUGGAAACUUCUAAUCUAGAGUAUGGGAGGGGGAGAUGGAAUUAGUGGUGUAGGGGUAAAAUCCGUAGAUAUCACUAGGAAUACCUAAAGCGAAGGCGAUCUCCUGGAACAUUACUGACGCUAAGGCGUGAAAGCGUGGGGAGCAAACAGGAUUAGAUACCCCUGUAGUC